AUUAAAAAAAAGGGGUGAAAAGAAUAAAGUUUUGUCCAUCUUUGUUCAUCAUAGCCUAAAGUUAGAGAAGAGAAAGGAGAGGAGAAAGCUCUUGAAUGUUCGGUCACUUGGGGAAGAAAAUUGAAGGCAGUUCGUGUGUGGAUCUCGUCAGCAUAUCAUCGCAAACAGGUUAAAGUUUUUGUAUCCGAUGCUUCAAUCCAAGCUGAGUGAUGGUGUUCGAAAGUGCUCUGCGCUUUAGCUUAAGAGCAAAGAGGAUCAAAGUCGGAUAGGGGAAAAAGAGAAUGUAAACGAAUAGCCGUG